rnacentral:tmRNA from 1 species
GGGGCUGACCGGUUUUGACAGGAUGUGUGAAUCCGUAUGCCAGCAUGCAAGCUCAUGAGGGUAGAGCUUUGAACACUGCUCUUACAAUCUACGUGGCGAGAAUACCUACGCCAUGGCUGCUUAAUCUGACCUAAGGUUAGAUUAGCUUAUUCCGGUUAAGAACCGGGAGGCCAUCAUCGCCCGGCUCCUCUGUUUCGCGGGGGCCGGAACCGCGGUGUCGAUCAGCAAAACUGGGCUUCGGUGUGUUGCGCACCGGCGUCGAGAAAACAGCAACUAAGGAAGGGUUUAGGCUGUUGCCUGCCUUACUCUCCCCGACAAUCAAAGUCAACUAAGCAUGUAGAACGUACGCAUUUAUCUUCUCUGGACCAGGGUUCGAUUCCCUGCAGCUCCACGG